AUGCAUCAGAGUGUCAGUUACCAUCGCGAUGCGGGAAGUACGGUCUUUGUGAGGACAGCCAAUGUGUGGGUUGUCCCUCACCUAAUGGACCAGCACUGGCCUGGAGCAAGAGCUGUGAGGCACCUAAGGUAUCAUCAUGUGCUGCAAAGGACUUUCACUAUAGUAAAAUGGAAGGAGUUGAUCAUUUUAUGGUGAAAUACACGAGGGGAGAUGGAGCUGUGAAACAAAGUGACUGUGAGAUGAAAUGCAGCAGGGACUGCAAGUGUCUGGGCUAUUUCUAUCAUCUUGACACUUCAAGGUGUUGGAUUGCAUAUGAUCUUAAAACUCUCACCAGAGGUGACAACUCCAAGCAUUUGGCCUAUGUGAAGGUGCCUAAUUAGUACCUGCUGAAUUUACCUGUGGCUAAUAAUAUGGAUUUCGACGUGUUUUACUUUGCCUGUAUUGGCUUUAUUCUGAUUUGUUUGUUCGAACUGCAAUUUUACUUUUUUUUAAUGGCAAGUUGUUCAACGAAUUACUGUUAUGCAAUGAGAAAAAGGGGAUUUUGAUAAAAAGUAGACCAAUCUAUUGUUUUUUUAUAAAAGUUUCGUAGCAUAUAUUUUAUAGAUUAGUUCAGUUUUGCAUGCACCUUAAUUGGAAUAACAUAGUAUAUACAGUUAAAAAGUAAAAACAAAUAUUUUAGUUGAAGUAUUAAAAUUUUAGUUUUAGGACUGUCUUCGAAAGUAUCAGUGAUAAUUUAUUUUUUUUAUAAAAUUACAAAUUGUUAGAUAGCGGCAUUUCGUUCCCGUACUCUGAUUUUAAUGUUAGAAGAAUACAGUCAGCAAUUUUUACGAUCUCAAAUGUAGUUUUGUUUAUACUUUACUAUAAAAGUAAAUGAUACAACUUGAAUCAGUUUUAAAAUAAAUUUUUGAUGAAAAUAGAAAACCAUUUUUUAUAUUGCAUAAGCCGCAGGUCUCAUUGAGCUAAAAAAUUGCAUUUUUAAUUCUUUUUCAUAAGGAUGUAUUUAUAAAAAUGAUUUUUGAAUAAUUUUUCUCAGUUUAUUCAAAACAAUAUCAAAAAUUAUUAAAAACCAAUUGUUGAAUGGAACGCAAAUAAUUUGAAUAUAAUUAUGCAGAACACAUCAAAUAAAGAACAAACGAGACUGAGCAAAUAUAUACAAGCCAUUUCAAUUGAUUUCGAUGCUUAUCCGUCCACCAACAACAAAUGACUUGUUUUUCGUAUGAAAAGUUUCCUGGAUAUAAAAAAGUUACAACUCCCGGACAAUAAUUUCUUUUAAAUUUAAAGCCCAAAUUCUCAACACACUCGUAUUUGCCUAAUACAGGGAUUUUAGUAGAAAAAAGCAACUGUAAUGUAUUCGUCGCUAAACAUAUCAUCAAAUGACUUCUUUAAUGUUCCAUGUUUGGUAAAAGUAGUAUUUUUGAAUUUUAGCCGAUUAAAUUAAUUUUAACUAAAUUUGUAUUUACCAUAUAAUUAUAAAAUAUCCAAAAAAUAUAUAAGUAAGAUAUAAUAAAUUUUAAAAUAUAAUUUUUAAAAUUUUAAAUUAUAUAAAAAUUAUUAUCAAAAUUCAACCAAUAUCUGGCAAUUUUAACCUCCAGUUCAACCCAUCAAAAUUAAAAUAAACGUAUCUUGAAAAGAUUGGAAUUAUAUUUUUGGACUGUUUUAUUUUUGUGUAAUAAGAUUUUUAGCCUGUAAUGAUUUACUGAACCUAUUCAAUGAUUGCUAUAUGUUUUUUAGUUAAUGCUUUUGUGUCAUGUAUUAAAUAAUUAUUAUAUAUAUAUAUAUUAAUUUCACUUUUUUAUUUUUCUUUUUUUGAACAAAAGGUAAAAAUAUUAGUACUUGGUUAAUGAUUAUUUAAUAAAUAAUUUUGAAACUUAUUUUUACCAGGUUAUUUUCUUCCCGUAAUUCUUAGGUGCAGCUUUUGAGCAGAAAAAAGUUUACAUCAGCAAUUUUUUUGGGCAUACAAAUUAAAGUAUUCAGUUAAAUAAUAACCGAAAUUAUUUCAGAUUUUAUAUGUAUCAUGUGUAGAUCUUAUUGUCCACAUUUCUGUAGUAUUAUUUCUUGGAUUAGAUGAUAGAAUUAUUGGAUGAAGAAUACUCUUUUCUACAAAUAUUAAUCCUUAGGUAUCAUCCGUUAACAUAAAAAGUAGUUUUGCCAACCAAAAACAAAAAGCUGGCCGAAUUGAAUGAAUAUAUUUAUGACAGAAUAAAUCUUAUUUAAAUUUAUAUAAUUUAUUAUAUAUUAACUCAUCCAAAUAUAUACUUAGAAACAAUUUUCCAUAUAUAAAAAAUGUCUUAGAUUUUAAAAUCGAGCUCCUUCAAAGUCGUAUUUGUCUGAUUACGCGGACUUCUAGUCCAAAAAACAAACCAGCAGGUGAACACGGUCCCAACAAGCACAAUUUAUAUUGUAUUCCUCACUAAAUUAACACACGAUUAUUGUCUACAAACGACGACGGCUGCUGGUCUUUUUUAACAUUUGUUUUCCUUCCAAAUUAUUGUUAUAUAUAUUUACAAACAAAAAGCAUCUCGGUUAAUUAAUUUAUUGCCAAGAUAUAUCACAGGCUGCUGAUGUAUUUAAUUUGAAGAUGCCCGACUUAGAAAUAUUGUACACUAUUGUUUAAUCUUGUAAGAAGUAUAUACAGAAAACUUUCUUCACACUUAAUGUUUCUAUAUAUCCAGUUAGCCAACUUUUUUAGACUAGUAUCUAUCGAAAUUGCUUCUAUAAGUAAUAAGCAUGCUUUCCUCAAAACAUGAACAACUCGAAACAUGGCCUCUAUGCAUAGAUUAAACCUUGCAAUCCUAUUUCUCUUCAUUCAAACACUCUCCUUGAGCUUUUGUCAAGCCACUGUUCCUGCCAAUGAAACAUUCAAGUAUGUAAAUGAAGGAGAGUUGGGUGAAUACAUUAGUGAAUAUCUCGGUGAUUACCGAGCUCUAAGUGUCUUCACUUCUCCAUUUCAACUUUGCUUCUAUAACCAAACACCUACGGCCUUCACCCUUUCUCUUCGUAUGGGCUUAAGGCGCACCGAGUCGCGUAUGCUCUGGGUUUGGGAAGCUAAUAGAGGGAACCCCGUUGAUGAGAAGGCCACUUUCUCAUUCGGAACUGAUGGAAACCUAGUCCUUGCUCAUUCCAAUGGGAAAGUUGCAUGGGAAAGUGCUACGGCCAACAAAGGUGUCGUGGGUUUCAAGUUACUCCCUGAUGGAAAUAUGGUGCUUUAUGAUUCUAAAGGCGCGUUUUUAUGGCAAAGCUUUGAUUCUCCUACGGAUACUCUCUUAGUUGGCCAGUCUCUCCGCGUGGGAGCUGCCACAAAGCUUGUCAGCAGGGCUUCUCGGAAUGAAAAUGUGAAUGGGCCUUAUAGCCUUGAAAUGGAGCCCAAGGGAUUAACUAUGUAUUAUACUCCUGCUAACUCUCCAAGGCCUAUGCCUUAUUUCACAUUCUCACAGUGGUUUAACAUAACCAAAGGGGCCACUAUACAGAACAUGACAUUUCUAAGCGAAAAUGAGUAUGGUGAAGGUUUUGCUUAUAAUCUACAAUUUGGCUUGGGCGUUGCUAAUUCCCCCUACAGCGCUGGCGGCAUCCUUUCCAGGAUCAAAUACAAUACGACAUUGUCAUUUCUAAGGUUAGCAAUGGAUGGGAACAUAAAGAUAUAUACUUAUAAUGACAAAGUUGAUUAUGGUGCAUGGGAAGAAACAUAUACAUUGUUUUCGAGAGAUUCUGAUGCAUCGGAGUGUCAGUUACCGACGAGAUGUGGGAAGUUUGGGCUUUGCGAGGACAGUCAAUGUGUGGGUUGUCCAUCACCUAACGGGCCAGUUUUGGCUUGGAGCAAGAGCUGUGAGGCACCUAAGGUAUCAUCAUGUGCUGCCAAGGACUUUCACUAUAAUAAAUUGGAAGGAGUUGAUCAUUUCAUGGUGAAAUACACAGAAGGAGAUGGACCUGUGAAACAAAAUGACUGUGAAAUGAAAUGCACCAGAGACUGCAAGUGUUUAGGAUACUUCUAUCAUCUGGACACGUCAAGAUGUUGGAUUGCUUAUGAUCUUAAAACUC
rnacentral:lncRNA from 1 species